CCUACGGGAGGCUGCAGUGAGGAAUAUUGGUCAAUGGACGAGAGUCUGAACCAGCCAAGUAGCGUGAAGGAUGACUGCCCUAUGGGUUGUAAACUUCUUUUAUAUGGGAAUAAAACAGGGUAUGCCUACCCUCAUGUAUGUACCAUAUGAAUAAGGAUCGGCUAACUCCGUGCCAGCAGCCGCGGUAAUACGGAGGAUCCGAGCGUUAUCCGGAUUUAUUGGGUUUAAAGGGUGCGUAGGCGGAAUGCCAAGUCAGCGGUAAAAUCGCGGGGCUCAACCUCGCUCCGCCGUUGAAACUGGCGGUCUUGAGUUGGCGAGAAGUAUGCGGAAUGCGUGGUGUAGCGGUGAAAUGCAUAGAUAUCACGCAGAACUCCGAUUGCGAAGGCAGCAUACCGGCGCCCAACUGACGCUGAAGCACGAAAGCGUGGGUAUCGAACAGGAUUAGAUACCCCUGUAGUC
rnacentral:rRNA from 1 species